rnacentral:rRNA from 1 species
UACGUAGGGGGCAAGCGUUGUCCGGAUUUACUGGGCGUAAAGAGCGUGUAGGCGGCUAGGUAGGUCCGUUGUGAAAACUCGAGGCUCAACCUCGAGACGCCGAUGGAAACCAUCUGGCUAGAGUCCGGAAGAGGAGAGUGGAAUUCCUGGUGUAGCGGUGAAAUGCGCAGAUAUCAGGAAGAACACCCGUGGCUAAGGCGGCUCUCUAGUACGGUACUGACGCUGAGACGCGAAAGCGUGGGGAGCGAACAGG